GGAUCCAGACUUUGAUUCUGGCUCAGGACGAACGCUGGCGGCGCGCCUAGCACAUGCAAGUCGAGCGGGAAGCUUUUUAAGGAUUCUUCGGAUGAAUUAAAAAGUGGAGAGCGGCGGACGGGUGAGUAACGCGUGAGAAACCUGCCCUAUACAGGGGGGAUAGCCAUUGGAAACGAUGAUUAAUACCCCAUAUGACCACAGUAUCGCAUGAUACAGCGGUGAAAACUCCGGUGGUAUAGGAUGGUCUCGCGUCUGAUUAGCUAGUUGGUGGGGUAACGGCCUACCAAGGCGACGAUCAGUAGCCGGCCUGAGAGGGUGACCGGCCACACUGGAACUGAGACACGGUCCAGACUCCUACGGGAGGCAGCAGUGGGGAAUAUUGCACAAUGGGCGAAAGCCUGAUGCAGCGACCCCGCGUGACCGAUGAAGGCUUUUCGAGUCGUAAAGUUCUGUUCUUGGG
rnacentral:rRNA from 1 species